UCAGGCCUAACACAUGCAAGUCGAACGGGAUCUUCGGAUCUAGUGGCGGACGGGUGAGUAACGCGUGGGAACGUGCCCUUUGCUUCGGAAUAGCCCCGGGAAACUGGGAGUAAUACCGGAUGAGCCCUACGGGGGAAAGAUUUAUCGGCGAAGGAUCGGCCCGCGUUGGAUUAGGUAGUUGGUGGGGUAAUGGCCUACCAAGCCGACGAUCCAUAGCUGGUUUGAGAGGAUGAUCAGCCACACUGGGACUGAGACACGGCCCAGACUCCUACGGGAGGCAGCAGUGGGGAAUCUUAGACAAUGGGGGAAACCCUGAUCUAGCCAUGCCGCGUGAGCGAAGAGAGGCCUUAGGGUUGUAAAGCUCUUCAGCUGGAAGAUAAUGA
rnacentral:rRNA from 1 species